rnacentral:misc_RNA from 1 species
AAACAAGUCUACUGUACUUUGCUCUCAUCUUUUCGAAAAUGAAAUUUGCGUUGAAACUGUUUUAUUCUUCAAUGUGUCUUAGCUUCACUUUCCUUUGUAUCGUAGCCGGAUUUCUGUUUUCUGCUUUUACAUCUACUAUGCAAACGUCCUUUCAAGAUAUCAGAAGAUUUGCUGGCUGCGAUCUCAAAUUGGAACAAAAGUUAAAGAUGGGAAGUUCUUUACACACUAUAUUUUCUGGUCUUUUGAAUAUAAAGAAAGUUUCGUAGAUAAAAUUUAACAAACAUGUUAAAAAGACCAAAGUGAUGACAAGCUCAUACAAAAAGACAUGGAAAACGGGGUACCCCUUGAAUUAUGGUGAGACUAACCUGAGGACCCAGGAUCCAAGAGUUAUAACAGUAUGUCGAAUCUAGAAAAUGUCCGCAAUGCUUCUAAGUAUAUGAAUCAUAAUCAAAUUAUGUGACUUUCCAAUUUUGUAUCUCUUUUAUAUCUCAGAUACUGUUAAUA